rnacentral:lncRNA from 1 species
GCAGCGGCUGUGCGGCUUUUAUGUUUUCCUGUUAGAGUUCUUUUUAACUUAAUUAAGGCUUUAAUAGGAGUUUUAUUUCCCUUAGAGGCUUAUUGUGAAGUUUAAAGUGGCCUUAGAAAUAAGUACCCCAAAUACCUGUUCCAUCAAACAUCUUUUUGAACUUCCUAUUUUACUCAGAGGAAUAUUGCUAAUCAGAUAUGUGAGCUCUUUUGGAUGAAUCUGAACUUCACUCAAGGUAACAACCCCGAAGACUUCUAUAGUGGUUAUUUUGGUGGUUUCUUUGAAGUCUCUUAAGAAGAGAUGGGAGCAAAAUGUGAGUGAAAAGGGUGCUGAACUGGUGGCAGCUGCAAAGCUUGGCUUUCUGAGAAAGGUGCUCUCAUUUGAAGGCACCCUCAGCAUCUCUUCAGCUAGCGCCUGCCUUGCUGGCGGGCUGAACCCCAGGAAACACGCUGCACUCUCUGAGCACCUUGGAAAUUAAAGAAUUGCCAGCUUUUCUGCUUUGGGACAAAAAACAUUUGUGCUAAACAGCCGUUGCAGUUAUUUACCAUGAAAUACCUGGAUACUUUUCUUUUUUCCCAAGAGAAGAGAGAGCUCAUCUGAUUAUUUGCUUUCCUGGUCACAGUUUAGCUCCCAG